CCUACGGGCGCAGCAGUGGGGAAUAUUGGACAAUGGGCGAAAGCCUGAUCCAGCCAUGCCGCGUGUGUGAAGAAGGCCUUCGGGUUGUAAAGCACUUUCAGUGGGGAAGAAAGCCUUGGGGCUAAUACCCUCGAGGAAGGACAUCACCCACAGAAGAAGCACCGGCUAACUCCGUGCCAGCAGCCGCGGUAAUACGGGAGGGUGCGAGCGUUAAUCGGAAUUACUGGGCGUAAAGCGCGCGUAGGCGGUCAGAUAAGCCGGUUGUGAAAGCCCCGGGCUCAACCUGGGAACGGCAUCCGGAACUGUCAGGCUAGAGUGCAGGAGAGGAAGGUAGAAUUCCCGGUGUAGCGGUGAAAUGCGUAGAGAUCGGGAGGAAUACCAGUGGCGAAGGCGGCCUCCUGGACUGACACUGACGCUGAGGUGCGAAAGCGUGGGUAGCAAACAGGAUUAGAUACCCCGUAGUC
rnacentral:rRNA from 1 species